UCUUGAAGAGGAAGUUGGGUGUGGCAGGCACUUUGUUGACAUAUCCAGUAUAGGAGUGCUCCUGGGAGCCCAUCUCUCACUUUUGAAAAGUGACUUUGUAAGUUAGGACUUUUCAUCAGGCACUCCCAGGAAAGCCUAGCUAAAUGCAGCUGGUGACUUGCUGAGUUUGGAGUUCUUGGCCUGCCAUCUCCUUGCACUCUUCCUUCUGGAACUACCUUGGUUUGUCAGCUUACUACCUAUUCAGAGUUGGCUUGUUUCUGGACUCUUUCUUCUACUUAGGUGAGUUGGCUUCCAACUAGACUGCUUGACUCUUGGCUAUGCUUCUGGGUCUAUGAACGGGAGGAGAAACUCAUCUCCAGUGACAACACUUCUUCCCAUUAUUAUUUCUUGCACAAGAGAGAGAGACAGCCAGCGAGAGAGGGAACACAGGCAGGGAGACUGG